UACACACCGCCCGUCACAUCACGAAAAGUCGGCUGUACCAGAAGUCGGUAGCCUGACCGCAAGGAGGGCGCCGCCCAAGGUAUGGUCGGUGAUUGGGGUG
rnacentral:rRNA from 1 species